CUUCCUGAUGAUUCUAACAAAAAUUGCAAACAAAACUAUUUUUCUCUGCAGCAUGUGCAAGAUGUCUUUUGGGAAGCUAGCAGUGUGCUAAACUGAUUCUCUGACUACAAAAUAUACAUUUCAGCAAUAUCAAUUCUACUUGUUUUUCAGAGAAGAAGAGGUCUUAUGUUAUUACUUGUAUUUUGUACCUCUGGACAUAAAACCUGUACUGUAAUAACAGAUUUUUUUUAUUUGUGGUUUGAAUGAUUUAAUAAAAAUAUCCUCAAGAGAGGUUCUGAUAGAAGGCAGACAUCUAAAUAAAAAGGGAACAGAACAGCUUAUAUUUCACCUCAUAAAGGUGCAUCUAAUUAUAGUAUGAGUAGAUCAAGAGGCUCAUCCUACAGCUGCCUUCUCUCGUCUCGAGACUGUGCUGUGGAGCAGAGUAGUUGAAACCUGCUGUGGCCUUUCCAGACGCAGGCACAGCAAUGCACAUAAAAGUUUUUCAGAGAGUCAUUACAACAGUAUUUUAUGGACCAAGAAAGUGAAAGAUACACUUGAAAGAUACAGGAGGCUGCAGCUUCUUAGGUGAAUGCACCCAGGCUUUGCCCAUGUUAUUACACAACUGAUGUCCAGAUGCAUAUAUAAUGGAUUUAACAUAAUCACCAUGGGUGGAACUCCCACUGAGGUCACCUCUUAACCGAAGCAGGUGUCUGCUGAACAUAGACUGAAGUUGACAGAAAUGAUGUCUUCGUAUGCACGUAUUAAAACUAUGGGGAUUUAGCAUAACGCAAAAAUUACCAGGCUGAAAAAAAAAGCUGCUUAUGUACCAAUGAUGGGACCCCAAAUUCCUGAAUACACUUAAUAUUGGUUCAUAAUGCAUCUGUAAUUUUAGAGCUCAUGCAACAUGAUUGUAAUUCUAUCAAGUUUAUAGAUCAAAAGUUGAAAGAAAUUAAUUUUUCUUAACAUGUAUAAUUUGUGAUGGAACAAGUUUGCUUACUGCCCUGUAUUCUUUAAACAAUGAAAAUAAGUAAUGAACCCCUUAAAAAAAUCCCUUGCUAACACUAUAAUUUUGUUACUGACUUCAGUCUUAAGUUUCUCAAGUGCAUUGUACAGAGAACAACUAAGUAUACAAAAGGUAUAUUACAAUAGAAUAAAAAGCCAGCAUCAACAUGAUUUCCAACAGACUGUAAAUUCCAUCAUCUCUUCCCUGUGUUUCUUCUGCCUUAAUUUAAAAUGUGCAAAGUUAUUGCCCAUUUUCCUAUGAAACAACAUUGUCAAGAAAUAUGGAAUUACAGUCACUAUUGUAUAAAAUAUACAGGUCAGUAGUAAUGCUUCCUACCUUUGGUAGCUGUGGAUUUAUCUCCUUUCUCUGCCUGUGUAAGCCAUAUUGGGCUGUGCUGGUAAAGCUCUGCGGUUCUUUCUGCUGAUGACCCUAAUCUGUUCCACAGCUACUGGAAAUCAUGCCAUGCUGAUGACAAUACGGGUCAUCUCCUAUUAAAUCUCCUCUUGUCUAAGUACAGCACUCUGCACAGACCACAAGCAGAAAACAUACUCUGAAAUUAGCUCUCAUCUUAAGAUAAAGUUGCAGUUCUGUGAUGUUUCUUAUUACAGGACAACAUUUCGAAGGUUCAUUGAUGAAGCAGAUGAAGACAUUAAUUUCUAACUUUUGGACAUCUGGAUUCAAAGUAAAAAUAAUUUCGCAGUGUCAUCCAAGUUCCCAGCUGUCCAUUCUACAAAACCUGGCAUAAAACACUCCCCAGAGGGACCCAGGAUCUGCAGAGCAGAAUUCAGUGCAUCUCACCUCGCUCCUGGCUGCCUAAAGAUGAUAUCACUUCUCCUGUUCAUUUUUUGGCUCAACAAGGGGUGUGAAGACCACUACCUUCAGUGCAGGGGAAGAAGUAGAACGGCACAGCCAGGACCAAGGAUGCAGGCAGGCAGGCACAGGACUGUUCCCUUUCGUUGACGCAAAGGUGUUUUGGAGCACUUGAGCCCAACAACAUGAAUGGACUCCUAACGCUUUGGUCAGUCUUACCCAAGGGCAGCACAAAACUGACCCUCACCACUGCCGACACGGCGGCUGGAUGCCCGCCACGUAGGUACCCCUCCCGGUUCGGUGGGAAGCGGCUUCCACAGCCUCACCGGCUGCGCCUCCUCAGAAGCCCCUGGCUAACGGCAGGCCCCCGCCGAGGCGGCAGCGGCGUCCCCGUUCUGGCAGCCUAACUGCGCCCCGGCCACCCGGGGGGCGCCCCUCGCAGAGCGGCCCCCGAGCUGGCAGCCGGCUCGGUGCUCUGCCCACCGCGGCCCCACGCCUCGGAGUUGUGCCCCGCCACCGGCGAGCGACCCCCCCGCGGCGAGUGACCCCGGGGCGUAAGGACGCGCAGGGGGAAGGUCAAGGGAGGCGAGCGAGCACGACCGCCGGAGCAGGACCGCCGGGCCAGGGCAGACAGCCUGCAGCCGGUGAAGCCCCCUCAGCCCCCGGCCCACCCGAGGAGCGGCCGCGAUCCCCGAGACCAGCCCCAUUGCUCCCCUCACGCCUUCCCCGCGCCGCACUCACUCGAAAACGUGCUCUGAGGUCCAGAUCUUCAUGGCGGCGGCGAGAAUGGGAGCGAGGAUCGGGAGGCG